GGAGGGAUGGGAGAGUGGUUAAAUCCAUCAGACUGUAAAUCUGACCGCCUAGCGUACGCUGGUUCGAAUCCAGCUCCCUCCACCA
rnacentral:tRNA from 7 species